GGACUACACGGGUUUCUAAUCCUGUUUGCUCCCCAUGCUUUCGAGUCUCAGCGUCAGUUGUCAGCCAGGUAGCCGCCUUCGCCACUGGUGUUCCUCCCGAUCUCUACGAAUUUCACCUCUACACCGGGAAUUCCGCUACCCUCUCCGACACUCAAGCACCUCAGUUUCCGCUGCACGUUACAGGCUAAGCCCGUAGAUUUCACAGCAGACUUAAGGCGCCGCCUACACUCCCUUUACGCCCAAUAAUUCCGAACAACGCUUGCACCCUCUGUAUUACCGCGGCUGCUGGCAC
rnacentral:rRNA from 1 species